rnacentral:rRNA from 1 species
CCCCGGUAAACGGCGGCCGUAACUAUAACGGUCCUAAGGUAGCGAAAUUCCUUGUCGGGUAAGUUCCGACCUGCACGAAUGGCGUAAUGAUGGCCAGGCUGUCUCCACCCGAGACUCAGUGAAAUUGAACUCGCUGUGAAGAUGCAGUGUACCCGCGGCAAGACGGAAAGACCCCGUGAACCUUUACUAUAGCUUGACACUGAACAUUGAGCCUUGAUGUGUAGGAUAGGUGGGAGGCUUUGAAGUGUGGACGCCAGUCUGCAUGGAGCCGACCUUGAAAUACCACCCUUUAAUGUUUGAUGUUCUAACGUGGACCCGUAAUCCGGGUUGCGGACAGUGUCUGGUGGGUAGUUUGACUGGGGCGGUCUCCUCCUAAAGAGUAACGGAGGAGCACGAAGGUUGGCUAAUCCUGGUCGGACAUCAGGAGGUUAGUGCAAUGGCAUAAGCCAGCUUGACUGCGAGCGUGACGGCGCGAGCAGGUGCGAAAGCAGGUCAUAGUGAUCCGGUGGUUCUGAAUGGAAGGGCCAUCGCUCAACGGAU